rnacentral:rRNA from 1 species
AGCGAACGCUGGCGGCAGGCCUAACACAUGCAAGUCGAACGAACUCUUCGGAGUUAGUGGCGGACGGGUGAGUAACACGUGGGAACGUGCCUUUUGGUUCGGAAUAACUCAGGGAAACUUGUGCUAAUACCGAAUGUGCCCUUCGGGGGAAAGAUUUAUCGCCAUUAGAGCGGCCCGCGUCUGAUUAGCUAGUUGGUGAGGUAACGGCUCACCAAGGCGACGAUCAGUAGCUGGUCUGAGAGGAUGACCAGCCACACUGGGACUGAGACACGGCCCAGACUCCUACGGGAGGCAGCAGUGGGGAAUCUUGCGCAAUGGGCGAAAGUCUGACGCAGCCAUGCCGCGGGAAUGAUGAAGGUCGUAGGAUUGUAAAAUUCUUUCACCGGGGACGAUAAUGACGGUACCCGGAGAAGAAGCCCCGGCUAACUUCGUG